rnacentral:rRNA from 1 species
AUUGAACGCUGGCGGCAUGCCUUACACAUGCAAGUCGAACGGUAACGGGCCUCUUGGUGCCGACGAGAGGCGCACGCGUGAGUAUUACACCUGGACAUGUCCGAGCGAGGGGGAUAACAAGUCGGAAGCUGUGCUAUAAUACCACACGAUUCCCGGGGGAGAGCGGGGGAGCUCAUCGCAUCUCACGCACUGAGCGGAGGCUAGCUCAGAUUAGCUAGUUGGUGGGGUAAAGGCCUACCAAGGCGACGAUCUGUAGCUGGUCUGAGAGGAUGAUCAGUCACACUGGAACUGAGACACGGUCCAGACUCCUACGGGAGGCAGCAGUGGGGAAUUUUGGACAAUGGGCGCAAGCCUGAUCCAGCCAUGCCGCGUGUAUGAAGAAGGCCUUCGGAUUGUAAACUGCUUUUGGUCGGGAGGAAAAGCAUUAUGUUAAUACAGGGGUGUCAUGACGGUACCGUAAGAAUAAGCACCGGCUAACUACGUG